rnacentral:rRNA from 1 species
GAUGAACGCUGGCGGCGUGCCUAAUACAUGCAAGUCGAGCGAACAGAUAAGGAGCUUGCUCCUUUGACGUUAGCGGCGGACGGGUGAGUAACACGUGGGUAACCUACCUAUAAGACUGGAAUAACUCCGGGAAACCGGGGCUAAUGCCGGAUAACAUUUAGAACCGCAUGGUUCUAAAGUGAAAGAUGGUUUUGCUAUCACUUAUAGAUGGACCCGCGCCGUAUUAGCUAGUUGGUAAGGUAACGGCUUACCAAGGCAACGAUACGUAGCCGACCUGAGAGGGUGAUCGGACACACUGGAACUGAGACACGGUCCAGACUCCUACGGGAGGCAGCAGUAGGGAAUCUUCCGCAAUGGGCGAAAGCCUGACGGAGCAACGCCGCGUGAGUGAUGAAGGUCUUCGGAUCGUAAAACUCUGUUAUUAGGGAAGAACAAAUGUGUAAGUAACUGUGCACGUCUUGACGGUACCUAAUCAGAAAGCCACGGCUAACUACGUG